GCUCCUUUGACGUUAGCGGCGGACGGGUGAGUAACACGUGGGUAACCUACCUAUAAGACUGGGAUAACUUCGGGAAACCGGAGCUAAUACCGGAUAACAUUUGGAACCGCAUGGUUCUAAAGUGAAAGAUGGUUUUGCUAUCACUUAUAGAUGGACCCGCGCCGUAUUAGCUAGUUGGUAAGGUAACGGCUUACCAAGGCGACGAUACGUAGCCGACCUGAGAGGGUGAUCGGCCACACUGGAACUGAGACACGGUCCAGACUCCUACGGGAGGCAGCAGUAGGGAAUCUUCCGCAAUGGGCGAAAGCCUGACGGAGCAACGCCGCGUGAGUGAUGAAGGGUUUCGGCUCGUAAAACUCUGUUAUUAGGGAAGAACAAACGUGUAAGUAACUGUGCACGUCUUGACGGUACCUAAUCAGAAAGCCACGGCUAACUACGUGCCAGCAGCCGCGGUAAUACGUAGGUGGCAAGCGUUAUCCGGAAUUAUUGGGCGUAAAGCGCGCGUAGGCGGUUUCUCUGAUGUGAAAGCCCACGGCUCAACCGUGGAGGGUCAUUGGAAACUGGGAAACUUGAGUGCAGAAGAGGAAAGUGGCAUGUGUAGCGGUGAAAUGCGCAGAGAUAUGGAGGAACACCAGUGGCGAAAGCGACUUUCUGGUCUGUAACUGACGCUGAUGUGCGAAAGCGUGGGAUCAAACAAGGAUAGAUACCCUGGUAGUCCACGCCGUAAACAAUGAUGCUAGUAGUGGGGGGCUUCCUCCCCCUACUGCUGCAGCCCACGCA
rnacentral:rRNA from 1 species